GCCCGGAUGGCGGAAUAGGUAGACGCGCUGGUCUCAAACACCAGUGGGGCGACCCAUCUCGGUUCGAGCCCGAGUCCGGGUACGA
rnacentral:tRNA from 1 species